AUAUAUGGUGUAAGAAAGUGGUCCACUUUCGAUCUUCUGCAUAUGGCUAGCCAGUUAUUCCAGCAAUAAAGGUUAUUUUAAUUGAGAAAAGGAAAAUAUUUAGGUCAAACCUUAUGAAAGUGACUGACUCUGGAUAACUGAGAGACUUCAUAUGAGGCUUUUUGGCUGUAUUUGUUUGUAAACAUAUUUCAGCUGAACAUGUGUGCUGUGAUUUUGAGAACACUAACUACUCUUUAGUCCAUUUGAUUUAGCAGAGAUUAUUAGCUUUCUUCCUAGACUGCCCUGCAAAAUGAAGGAACUCAAUUUAUUAGGCCAGCUCUGGGGUUUCUUCCUACUCCCAAAUCCCAGGUCUAUACUUUCUAGGUUUACCCAGAUAAACUGCUGAGUGGGGAUUCCCUGCAUUUCUCCUAUUUACUAGCUGCCAAGUGAUGAUAAUGUAUUAUUAAGAAGGAUUCCUUGUAUCAUUUGUAGUACACUCAGAGUAACCUACUCUGAAAUACUAUCCUUGAUCUUUUGCUCCGUUGAAGAAAGACCUUCAGAAGACCUAGUUUUUGUAUCACUUGUUGAUUACUCUAGUUUUUAACUUUUUUGGAGCGCUUAUGGUGAGGGUUACAUAGCUGAGAGCUGCUCAGUGUUUCAGGAGAACUUCAGCUGUAGGUGGGAAGCAGUUGAAGCAAACUGUAACAAAGAAGUCACUUCCAUCAGAAAAUAAAAUUCCCACCAGCUGUUAAACCCCUGACAACCUCUCAGCCUCUUCCUUUUGUAUCCAGGAGGCCUCUGUCUGUCUGCAAACCCUGGACCUGGUUUAGUUCAGUGAGGCAAGAUGUCAUAUAUUUUUCCUCAUUAAUCACCCUUGGCAGAUGUCAUAGUAUUACAACCACUCUCUCCUUCCUUUAAAAAUAUAAUUUCAGAAUGACUUCACAAUAAAUGUAGAGGUAAAUUAGCAGUAACAUCUGGCAGACUGACUUCCUAAUUCCAUGACUUCUGAAUGGAUGUUAGUGGAAAGAGUAUUACAGCUCCACGAGGUAGGAAACCCAUAUUUUGAUCCUGGCUUUGCUGUGAACUUCUUGGGGAACAUUAGAAAGAUCGCCUAGUUUUUUUAGGUCCAAGUUUUUCUCCUCAGGAAAGUGAAAGAGUUGAAUGUGGUUGUUUUCAACCUUCCUCUCAGUUCUGAAGUUGUGUGACUAUGAUCUAUAAAGGUCAUUUAUUGUUGCCUUCAUAACUCAAGACCAAAGGCAGAGUGUCUGUUAGCACUCCAUUUCUGUGACUCCCCUGCCACUUAUUUCUCUUGGUCCAAUAAACCAUUGUUUUUUUGUUUAUCUUCCUUUUCUCAUAAAACACUAAAUAAUUUCAGAGAGAAUCUCAUUUUGGCAUUCUUUAUAUCCUCUAACGUAUGAUGUGUCUUUGUGACUACUGAAAAAAAUUCUUAAAAGCAGCUACUUCCAUUAUUCUCUACUUUUUAAAGCUAUCCCCGGAGAACUAAAUGUCAAUUCAAAGAUUCCUACAUUUGUUAUCAUUUCUAACCUAACCUGUAGAAGUCUAAGGCAUAAUUUGAAACUGAAGGAUUCUUGCCUGGAGACAGUGGGCUCAUAAAUAUGUAGCUUGAUUUUUUCCUAUAAUGUAAGAAGAAAUUAGGAUUUUUAACAACAUUUUUUCAGUAUCUAAGUUGAAUAUGCAAAAUUGGGCUGAUGUACAUGCUUGCAGAUCCUGCAUUUUUAAUUGUAGUUACAUUAUUUUUCAAUUGAGUAAUAAUUUUCAAUGAAGCUACUGCAAAAUAACAGGUUGUUGCCUAAUGAAAGAUUUUACAAACCAAAGACUCAUGUGUUUUAAUUCUAUCCCUAAUUUAGACUCUGAAAUAUGCCAUUCUUCUUUUAUGUAUGUCAGAUAGUUGUCUGUUUUCUAUGCUGAGCAUGGAAAAUGCAACCCAAGUGGGCCACAGAAGAGGUCACUAAUUUCCUACCCAGUACCCAUUCUUUUCUUCUUCCUUAGUGACACACUCUGAUUUUAUUCAAAGGGAUAAUGUCCCCAGCUAAAAGACUGCAUUUCCUAGCCUUGUUUGCAGUGAGGGGUGGCUAACACAGAGAUCACUAGGUAGGAGUUCCAGGAAACGUUUUCAGUGGGAGUUCACUGCCCUGUGCAUGUCUUGACUCUGCUUCUUCUGGCUCCUUUCUGAGCUCCACCUGGUCACAGGAUGGUCAAGUCAACUUUAGUCUCAUCAUCCUCUUCAUUCAAGGCCAGCAAAAAAAGUCCAGUUUCCUAAUAGCUUAAACAAAGCCCUCGGUUUGUAUGUCCUUGGCCUCAUUGCCCAUUUUGAGCUGCCUUGAACCCAUAACUGAGACACAUAGAAUACAAUGUGCAGAUGGAUCCAUCCUGGUCAUAUAACAACCCCAGGGCUCAGAUUGGUGGCAGCUUCACUGGGUCCCCUAAAGCAAAGUAGGGCUAGGAGAAGUGGGAAUGGAUGGAUACUGAAUGAUCGUACUACAGAUGUCCACCCCACCAAGUUUGCCAGUUUCUUCUCUGAGUUAUUAGUCUCUGAUGAUCUAGUAAACUGAUUGCUUGGUUUGCAAAGUUACAUGAACAACAGUUUAGUCACUGAAUUCAUAUAUAGUAAACGAAAUUGAAGGCUCAAGGCUGCAGCAUUAAUCUGGAUUAGCUAUCAAAAUAUAUAUCCUCUAGUUUUCCUGAGUAAUAUCUUACGGUAAGUCAUAUAACUUCUCUUUCCAUUAUCACCCCGUAUAUGGCCCGCUAAAAGGGUGGAAUCAAAAGCUUGCCAAGAAAUUUUUUUCAAAUCACAGCAAUUGUAUUUUCCAGUAUAGCUUGCUGAUAUAGCAGAGGACAUUGUUUCUGUACAUAAAAUUGUAUAACAAGUUAGAGCUAAAUGAAAUUUAAAACGACUUGUGAUAAACCCUGAGAAAGUGGUGCUUUAAAAUAGUAAUGUCAGCAGGCUGUCUAUUAUGUAACCAUAAUACUAGUGUUCUGAGUUAAGAUGGGGAAGUUAUAGGGCAGUGACAAAAAAUAUGGUUGUCCUCUCUUUGGUAUGAGUGAACAUGUAAAAGUGAUUCUGAAGUGAUUUACUGCAGAUGUAUGUUGAGACAUGGUAAGCAGCAAGACAGAUGAUUAUGGCCACAGUUCUGAAGAUGUUCAGAUGGCCUUCAAUUAGCUUUGGGCAAGGCUGCUUCUUGCCGAAACCAGUAUUGAUUUUUCAGAAUACCUUCUAACUUUUCAGCAGAAGGACCGAUCAUGUCAAUUCCUUUGAAGCCACAGGACACAUCGUUGGAGAGGAGACUGCGGGAAGCCUUCCUGUGGCAGCCAGGGACUGGCUAUCUGAGCGGAGGACAGUGGGGCUGGGUAGAGGGGAGGCAGUGAAGUGGAAUGAUGGAGUGUGGGCUCUACAGUCAGAGAGGCCUACGUCUGACACUGGUACCUUCAUGUGUACCAGUAGAUCACUAAGAUCUAGGAGCCUCACUUCCCUCCUUUGUAGGAUGGGCACACCUGAGAAUUUAAUGAGAAAAGGCCUGGAAAGCUUCUAGCUCAGUGCUUCUGACCUGUACUAAAUGUUAGGAAAUGUUAACUAUUACUCCGUUUCAGAACUGGCCCUUGAAAAGAAAGGAAAUAUUAUUGAGUUUUUCACUCUUUUCCCCUGAGUUUCAUUAAGAAAAAAAAAAAAAAAAAAAAGUGUGCAUGUGAAGAAGUUAAAUUUGGA